rnacentral:lncRNA from 1 species
UCAAAAUUGCCCUAGGUCUUUGUGAUCAAGCAAAUUGGGUGCACACCCACUAGUUUUAUUUUUGAGCUUUCAUACACUUAUAGCUCUAGUGCAUCCGUUGCAUGGCAGUCCCUACUCAUUCACAUUGAUAUCUAUUGAUGGGCAUCUCCAUAGCACAUUGAUACGCCGAGUCGAUGUGACCAUCUCCUCCUUUUUGCCUCACAACC